rnacentral:rRNA from 1 species
UGCCUAACACAUGCAAGUCGAGCGGGCUGUGGCAAUACAGCUAGCGGCGGACGGGUGAGGAAUACAUAGGAAUUUGCCCUAAAGUGGGGGAUAGCCAGGGGAAACUCUGAGUAAUACCGCAUGAUCUCGUGAGAGCAAAGCAGGGGACCGUAAGGCCUUGCGCUUUUGGAGAAGCCUAUGUCGGAUUAGCUAGUUGGUAGGGUAAUGGCCUACCAAGGCGACGAUCCGUAGCUGGUUUGAGAGAACGAUCAGCCACACUGGAACUGAGACACGGUCCAGACUCCUACGGGAGGCAGCAGUGGGGAAUAUUGGACAAUGGGCGCAAGCCUGAUCCAGCAAUGCCGCGUGUGUGAAGAAGGCCUUCGGGUUGUAAAGCAC